UUCACGAACGGUUUUUCACAACUUCAAAAAAAAACUAAAAAUUAUUUAAUUGAUGUAAGUAAAAAUUAGCUUUAUAAAUAAAGUGAUAAAACUCUUUCUUACGUGCAAAGAGUGAGGUGGAGGGAUAUGGCUAAAAUUGUCAAAUUUAUUUAUGUUAUGAUUAUCCUUAUUUUUCUAUUUCUUGUUUCAACGAACAUUGACGCAAUCCGCAAUAAGUGCUUUAGACCUUCUGAUUGUCCCCCUUCAAUGUAUUGUGAUGCUGGUUUUCAAAUAGGGUGUGUAAGAAAAAUAUGUACAUGUCUUAGAAUACUUGCACCAAUAGAUUUUGUGCCCACAUGAUCUAGUGUUCGACCAAAGAGAGUACACAAACGCCUACUAGAAUACUUCAUUAGCUGUCAUUUACUUACCGUGUUGGCAUUUAAUUGUUUGAAUCUUUUCCUCUUUCUAAUUUCAAGAACCUUAUAGUUAUGGUUUUGUACUCUUACAGGAUGGUAAUGAAAUAAAAUAAGGCAGCAAAUAAUAUUAUUUAGAUUAUUA